AUGUCAGCCGCCGCGGUAAUACGUAGGUGGCAAGCGUUGUCCGGAUUUACUGGGCGUAAAGAGUGCGUAGGCGGUUCUUCAAGUCGGAUGUGAAAUCUCCCGGCUUAACCGGGAGGGGUCAUUCGAAACUGUCGGACUAGAGGACAGCAGGGGGAGGUGGAAUUCCCGGUGUAGUGGUGAAAUGCGUAGAUAUCGGGAGGAACACCAGUGGCGAAGGCGGCCUCCUGGGCUGUUUCUGACGCUGAGGCUCGAAAGUGUGGGGAGCGAACAGGAUUAGAUACCCUGGUAGUCCACACUGUAAACAAUGGACACUAGGUAUGGGGAGUAUCGACCCUUUCUGUGCCGAAGCUAACGCUUUAAGUGUCCCGCCCUGGGACUACGGCCGCAAGGCUAAAACUCAAAUGAAUUGACGGGG
rnacentral:rRNA from 1 species